GUCAGCUUUCUAUUCAUCAUGAGAGUAGACUCUCAAGACAAUUUACUAGCAGUGGAGUUAGACUCUGGACUUAUUCUGCCUCCUCACAUGUAAUAGAGAAGUGGAUUCAUCUAAUCUAAAAGAACUGGCCCAUGUAUGCGAUAGGUGAACCCAUGAAGGUCUAAUCCCUGGCUACAAGGGGAGGCUGUGACUUCCACCUCUGCUGUGAGUUAGAGGUGGCAUAUGGCACCAUUGUCAGGAAGAUGCUGUUGUUGGUCUUUUCUACUUGAGGAGGAACAAUGCCAUCAUAAUGUUGGUGUCAGGGUACCAUGAGUCUGUGGCUGAUCGGUCUAAUAUGAGUUUGGAAGACUCUACCACAGAUUGGGCAUGAAUAGUUUGGAAUUGGAUGUCUCUAGAUUUGUGCAUCUCACAUUUCCUCUGCUGUGAUUCUGCUUUGCUCAUAGACUACAGUGCCAGUAGCCUAGCAGAGGAAGGGCAGAAAAAGGCAGUUGCUGAAGGUAGAGGACUCCAGAGUUCUGGGAAUAUCCUCCUUCUUUGUCUGGCUUGACAAAUAGUUCUCUUUGAUUUUGGGACACUGGCUAUAUUAAGAAGGUAACUCUUAUCUAUCUCCUGUAACAAAUGGUAUAAUUUUC
rnacentral:lncRNA from 1 species